rnacentral:misc_RNA from 1 species
GUUUUAAACAGAUUAUUAAAAUCAUGUAUUAAUUAAUCAGAAAAAAUUUUUAAAGGAUGAUAUGAUUUUUUGGGGCCGACCCAGCAGCACGAAAAGGGAUUGCUCCCUCCUUUACUACCGAACCAUUUUAAAGCCCCAAAAGUACAAAACUGUCAAAGCCAGCACAAUGGGAAGAAGCUUCAAUGAUGAAGACUCACUUCAGUAAUGAUCCUUCCGCAGGUUCACCUACGGAAA